rnacentral:rRNA from 2 species
GAGUUUGAUCCUGGCUCAGAUUGAACGCUGGCGGCAUGCCUUACACAUGCAAGUCGAACGGCAGCACGGGAGCUUGCUCCUGGUGGCGAGUGGCGAACGGGUGAGUAAUGCAUCGGAACGUAUCCUGGAGUGGGGGAUAACGUAGCGAAAGUUACGCUAAUACCGCAUAUUCUGUGAGCAGGAAAGCGGGGGGACCUUCGGGCCUCGCGCUCUUGGAGCGGCCGAUGUCGGAUUAGCUAGUUGGUGAGGUAAAGGCUCACCAAGGCGACGAUCCGUAGCAGGUCUGAGAGGAUGAUCUGCCACACUGGAACUGAGACACGGUCCAGACUCCUACGGGAGGCAGCAGUGGGGAAUUUUGGACAAUGGGGGCAACCCUGAUCCAGCCAUGCCGCGUGAGUGAAGAAGGCC